UACGUAGGGUGCAAGCGUUACUCGGAAUUACUGGGCGUAAAGCGUGCGUAGGUGGUUUGUUAAGUCUGAUGUGAAAGCCCUGGGCUCAACCUGGGAAUGGCAUUGGAUACUGGCGAGCUAGAGUGCGGUAGAGGGUAGUGGAAUUCCCGGUGUAGCAGUGAAAUGCGUAGAGAUCGGGAGGAACAUCUGUGGCGAAGGCGACUACCUGGACCAGCACUGACACUGAGGCACGAAAGCGUGGGGAGCAAACAGG
rnacentral:rRNA from 1 species